GACGUAGGGGGCGAGCGUUGUCCGGAUUUACUGGGCGUAAAGAGCGCGUAGGCGGUCUUGUAAGUGUGAAGUGAAAUCUCCAGGGCUCAACCCGGAAACUGCUUUACAUACUGCAAGACUAGAGUGAUGAAGAGGUUUGUGGAAUUCCUGGUGUAACGGUGAAAUGUGUUGAUAUCAGGAGGAACACCCAUGGCGAAGGCAGCAAACUGGUCAUCAACUGACGCUGAGGCGCGAAAGCGUGGGUAGCAAAC
rnacentral:rRNA from 1 species